UGAAUAAUAUGCCAACUUUCCUCUUUCCUCUAUAAUCAACUUCAAUGAAUAUUUCUGUACAUGUAUCCUUGUGCUCAUGUCAAAAAAAGCAUUUAUGAUUAUCCUUAUGAGUAAAAUUGCUGCUUCUAAGGGUCUAAACAUCAUUAUGAAAUAUUGUAAUAUUGCUCUCCAAAUAAAUCAUACCAAUUUAUUGUCUAAACACCAGUGUAUGACCAUCACUACAGCUUUACAUCCCCCAUCAGAUCUGGUAUUGUUGGGUUAUGUUUUGUUUUGGUGAAUUCCCAAUAUUUUUAAUUGGGAAUCUCAUUCUUGUUUUCAUCUGCAUGAAAUUGUGAGGUUGAGUAUGUUUUCAUUUGUUAAAAUUAGAUGUUCAUGUUUCCUCUAAUGUGAAUCAUCUUUUUGCACACUUUAGUAAUUUUUGUAUUUGUUUGCUGUCAACUUUCUUAUUAAUUUGUAGAAGUUUCUUUUUAUGCAACCAAAUCUUUUAUAAGUUUGUAGGCAUUGUAAAUAUCUUCUCUCAGGAUAUGGCUUUUAAUUCACUUUAUUUGUGAAAUAAUAUUUUUGUUGUCUAGAGAAAUUUUAAAUCAUAUCAUUUUUUCAAGGUUUGUAUUUUUUUUCUUUUGUUUUGAAGGUUUAUUUUUCAUAGAUAGGUCAUUACUCCAUUUGGAACUUUUUAAUAUAUGAGUAGAUAUCUAAUUUUAUUGUAUACAAACAGCUAAUCGCUCCAAUAACAGCAAAGAGUUCAUCUUUUCUACUGAUUUGUAUUGCUACUUUUGCCAGCCAUCCACUUUUCAUAGAUUUAUGGAUCUGUUUCCAAGCUUACUCUCCUAUUCUGUUGCUCAAUAUUUUUGUAUAAACAAUUCCCUUCAAAUAUUCCUGACAGCUUAUUUCCUCUUGAAUGUUAUUCUGGUCUGGUCCCCUUAAACAGCUGCAAUUUAUUGAUGGAACAUAAAACAGGCAAAAGGAAGGAGCAAGACACAGAGUUAAUUUAAUAUCCUGAUAAAAUAGAUCAGCCUUUAGUAUUUUAACAGCUAUAUAUUAUUUAUUUAGUAAUUUUGGUUUUGUUUGUAAACAAGCAAGUUAUAUUGUGGUAAAGAAGAAAUAUGGGAGUCAAAAUAAGACUUUAAAGAUGUAUCUAAUUUUGUAAUUAAAAUACAUUUCCUACUCAACAUUUUUUUAAUUUUAUGUAAAAUAUUUUAGGCUACACUGUGCAUGUUUUAAAACCACUUGAUUUUAAAGCUUUUUAAUAGAAGAAAAAAGAUACAAAGCUGAAGUUGUAAGGGUAAGUGUUAAGUAUUGAAGUUUUGUGGGCCUAACAAAUGACUGGUUUAUAUAAUUUGUAGAAUACUUUUUUAUUUUACAUACUUACCUAAUAUAAGUGGUGCCUAAAUAAGUAAUGCUUUAUAGGACGAAUUGAUGCAGGUGGGAGAGUCACUGUGAUAUGAGACUGUCAGAGGCCUUUGAACCAGAGCAAUUCUAUUGUGAAUAGGGGCUGGAUAAAGUAAGUCUGAGACCUACAGGGCUGCAUUCCCAGGAGGUUAGGCAUUCUUAGUCAAAGGAAGACACAGGAGGUAGCUCAAGACACAAGUCACAAAGACCUUGAUCAUAAAACAGGUCGUGGUAAAGAAGCCAGCCAAAACCCACCAAAACCAAGAUGUCAAGGAAAGUGAUCUCUGGCCUUCCUCACUGCUCAUUAUAUGCUAAUUAUAAUGCAUUAGCAUACUAAAAGACCCCACCAGCACCAUGACAGUUUACAAAUGCCAUGGAAAUGUCUGGAAGUUACCCUAUGUGAUAAAAAAAGGGAAGGAACUCUCAGUUCUGGGAAUUACCCGCCUCUUUCCCAGGAAACUCAUGAAUAAUCCACCCCUUGUUGAGAUAUAAUUGAUAAAUAACUAUAAGCAUACUAAGUCAAGUAGCCCAUGCCACUGCUCUAUCUAUGGAGUAGCCAUUGUUUUAUUCCUUUACUUUCUUAAUAAACUUGCUUUCACUUU
rnacentral:lncRNA from 1 species